rnacentral:rRNA from 1 species
AUUGAACGCUGGCGGCAUGCUUUACACAUGCAAGUCGAACGGUAACAGGUUAAGCUGACGAGUGGCGAACGGGUGAGUAAUGCAUCAGAACGUGCCCGGUCGUGGGGGAUAACGCAGCGAAAGCUGCGCUAAUACCGCAUACGAUCUGAGGAUGAAAGCGGGGGACCGUAAGGCCUCGCGCGAUCGGAGCGGCCGAUGUCAGAUUAGGUAGUUGGUGGGGUAAAGGCUCACCAAGCCGACGAUCUGUAGCUGGUCUGAGAGGACGACCAGCCACACUGGGACUGAGACACGGCCCAGACUCCUACGGGAGGCAGCAGUGGGGAAUUUUGGACAAUGGGCGCAAGCCUGAUCCAGCAAUGCCGCGUGCAGGAAGAAGGCCUUCGGGUUGUAAACUGCUUUUGUACGGAGCGAAAAGGCUCUCUCUAAUACAGGGGGCUCAUGACGGUACCGUAAGAAUAAGCACCGGCUAACUACGUGCCAGCAGCCGCCGUA